rfam:Asian citrus Psyllid, Diaphorina citri - Florida Strain, whole genome shotgun sequence.
UCCUAGUUAGCUCGGUGGGUAGAGCGACUGCCUGGUAAGUGCUAGGUCGCGGGUUAGAUUCCCGCCUGGGGAG